CCUACGGGAGGCAGCAGUGGGGAAUAUUGGGCAAUGGAGGCAACUCUGACCCAGCAACGCCGCGUGAAUGAUGAAGGUCUUCGGAUUGUAAAGUUCUUUUCUAAGGGAAGAAGAAAGUGACGGUACCUUAGGAAUAAGCCUCGGCUAACUACGUGCCAGCAGCCGCGGUAAUACGUAGGAGGCAAGCGUUAUCCGGAAUGACUGGGCGUAAAGGGUGCGUAGGUGGUUCAGCAAGUUAGUAGCGUAACUCCGGGGCUCAACCUCGGCACUACUACUAAAACUGUUGGACUUGAGUGCAGGAGGGGCAACUGGAAUUCCUAGUGUAGCGGUGGAAUGCGUAGAUAUUAGGAGGAACACCAGUGGCGAAGGCGGCCUGCUGGGCUUUUACUGACGCUGAGGCUCGAAAGCGUGGGUAGCAAACAGGAUUAGAUACCCUAGUAGUC
rnacentral:rRNA from 1 species